GCUAGGUGAGGUGGUGCAUGCCUGUAAUCCCAGUGUCUCAGGAGGCUGAGACAGGAGGAUCAUGAGUUCAAAGCCAGCCUCUGCAACAGUAAGGUGCUAAGCAACUCAUGAGACCCUCUCUCUA
rnacentral:sRNA from 1 species